CAAGUAAUGCUAUAUCAUUCUUUACGAUAGUUUUAUUCAAAAAAAUGUAAACGGCUGAUAAAAAGGAAAAUCGGACCGUACACGUGGCAUGAUAUAAAACGAUAGAUCUGUAAACCCUAAUAAGCAAUUUUAGGGUUUGGAAGCGAACAUUGCAGCCCCUCUGUUUCUAUAUAUAAGCUUCUUAGCGCAUUAUCUAUCACACCAACAAUCGUCUUCUUCAUGCGGCCAAUCUUCACUAUGGGCGUUAGGGUUUUGAUUCGUAAGAGAUGGAAGUGAUGACACUUUCCCCAAAUGAUCGACGCUGAUUAUACUGUGCUGGUGUGGUUACCACACUUUUGUCUGAUCCAUCUCAUUUGAUUUUGAUUUAAUUUGAAUUCGUUUUGACUUUUCCAUUCUACUUUUUAGUGUUCUUCGAAAGGAACUGUCAUUUCUCUUUUAGUACUUUUAGUUGAUUUAAGAUGAUUGUAUUCAGUUGCUAAACUGAAUAAUUGCGAUGAAGUUGGAAUUGAUGAUACUUUCCCCAAAUGAUCGACGCUGAUUAUACUAUGCUGGUGUAUAUAUCACAUUCCGUCUGAUCCUUCUUCUUCGAUCUUUCUUUAUUUGAAUUUUCCUUGUCUUAUAGUCUUUCGGUGCACUGAGUUUCAUAGAAUUUAAUGCUGUAUUUCUCAUUGAUAUUUGAUUGUAUAUGUUUUUAUUUAGCGUCGUUAAUUGAAUUUAGGCUCUACUUUCACUAUUUGUUUCAAAUGUUGUUUGAGAUGUAUGACUACCAAUCGUAGAUGGAAGUGAUGACACUUUCCCCAAAUGAUCGACGCUGAUUAUUCUAUGCUGGUGUGUUCUUCACACUUUUGUCUGAUCCAUCUCCUUCGAUCUUAACCAUGAACUGGUUCUAAUCAAAUUACGUUUGUCCUGACUUCUGCAUUUUACCUUUUUUUGGUUACUUUGAAUCAAACUGUCAUUGCUCUUUGGGCCGGUAGCUUCAGCCCAAUCUUUGUGCUAGAACCCAUUAACAAUGCGUCCGAGCCUAACAUUGGAUCAAAAUAGUCUCGACAAUUUUGAUCAUUUAAAACACCAUGUGUUUUAUUAAGUAAAUUAUAAUACAAGUAAACAAAACAUUUCACAGAAUUUACUACAAAAAUCAGUUACAAU